CCUUGGGGUUUUUCUUCUCGUUGGGGCAAUCCACGAACCGAUCCCAACGAUAAUAGCUGAGUGGAGGUCGGCGACCAGGAGGACUUUCACAAGUUGAAGGACAUGAUAGUCCCGACGCAGAAGGAGCUUGUGACUGAACAAGCCCUUUAUGACACCGACUUUAGUUCGGCCAUCUGUUUAGGUAUAGUAUAGUCGGUUAUUUUUGACUUCACUUAUCUUUUGAGUUGUACUGACUCUUGUCGU
rnacentral:lncRNA from 1 species